CUUCUUGUCACUGCUUAUUGUUUUUAACUUUUUUCCCCUCUUAAUCCUGUUUUUGCUUUAGUUUAAAGAAUCAGCUUUUUUCACUCCAAAAAAAAAAAAAAGAAUCAGCUUUUUAUUUAACUCCAUCUCUCUCUCUCUCUCUCUAGUUUUCAGUAUGCUGCGGCCCAUUUUUGUCUAAAUAUGUUCUUAUAAACUGUGCCACGUGUAUCAUGAUCUCUAUGAUACAUAACAUUUCUGUUUUCCUAUUACACAUUGAUUCUUUUUAGUGAUCAUUUUACUCUUCUUGACAUGUAGCAGUAGCAUUGUAUAUGCAUAUUGGCCAAUGCACCUUGUAAAAUUUUAGCUUCAUCCCGCACGACAUUUUAUAUAGGGAAGGACAGAAGGCUGGAGGUUGCAGUCGUCUUCUGUCAUAGCAAAUAUAUAUAUUAUCAUUAUCUGUGCAUGAUAAUGGAGAGGAAGAAAACUGUAAGAUUCUAUAUAUUGAUUAGAGCACCUGGUUAAGAUCUUUGUGGUGUGCUAUAGAAUUGCACAUAUUUGAGUUUGCAUUGUUUAAGAAAAUAUUUUGCAAAAUGGGGACCCCACAAUUUUAAAUUUCAGAUUAAACUCUCUCACAGCUUCUCUCCGUUUUCCACAUCAGACUUUGAAUAGACAGACAACGCCAGCAGAAAUUCAAAAGAGGUACUAAAGGGAAAAGGUGAUGGAAAAAGAAGCCACCCAGUGUGUGAAUUGUGAUCAAAGAUUUUUUUUUUUUUUAACCCCAAAAAUUAAAAAAAGUGAAUAGUUUUACCGAGAAGGCAGGAUUAGACUCAAGUUUGACCAACUGUUACAGCAAGGAAGCCCAUGGGGCCUCACGUAGUCACAUUAAUUUGACCUUUCUUCUUGCGAGGAACGAAUAUCUUCUGUGCAAGGAGAGAAACGGAGAUACACACAAACACCCAAAAAAAAA